rnacentral:rRNA from 1 species
CACGUAGGGUGCGAGCGUUGUCCGGAAUUAUUGGGCGUAAAGAGCGUGUAGGCGGCUUUACAGGUCCGUUGUGAAAACUCGAGGCUCAACCUCGAGACGCCGGUGGAAACCGUAAAGCUAGAGUCCGGAAGAGGAGAGUGGAAUUCCUGGUGUAGCGGUGAAAUGCGCAGAUAUCAGGAAGAACACCCGUGGCGAAGGCGGCUCUCUGGGACGGUACUGACGCUGAGACGCGAAAGCGUGGGGAGCGAACAGG